AUGCUCUUGAAACAGCUUUGCUGCAAUGAACCUGGCAAAGUUCGGAAAAACUUGGAUUUGGGCUUCAUAUUGAAAAUAUUGUGUGGGCUAAAAAUUAAAAAUACAAGGCGUGAGCCGUGAGGUGAGGUUCGGUUCGGUUCGAAUUGAAGCAAAUGAAAAACCCAAGCAGACAAAUUGAUUUUGAUUUUUGAGAUGAUGAGAAGACCAAACCAAAACUUACAGUACAAGUUAGUUUUGUUUAAUUUGAUAAUUUGAUUUAUUUCAAUCAGUUUUGUUCGUUUUUUGAACUUGUACGCCUCUCGCAAAUUUUUAACUGCCAUGACCGUCUCCAAAUUCUUGCGAUUACGAUCUAUCGAUUUUUAAGGUCGCUUUAGGAGGCACCAGUGACAUGUUUGCUGCAAGUCACACAGUAUAUUUCUUUCUUUUCAGCUUCUAUUCAAAGAGAGUAUAUUAUCAUGGCGCAUAGCAUUCCUUGUACGCAAUGAAACAAAGGUAACGUUUCCAUGGUCCCAGCAUUAAAUUUCCUCCCUCCUUCGUUGUUCGGAUUAUUCUCCCAUCUGUCGUUGGAGAAAACGACGAACCGUUUUGAAGGGCAAGGACGACAGAUAAGAGGGAAAUAUUCCUGGGCUAGUUGCUUGGUUACAUUGGGGCGUCCAUCUGGGAGGAACUUCCUUGCCAUCAUCAUAUUCCUCCCAAUCCAAGUUUAUUUUAUCUUGUGCAGUUCAUCCUUCGCGUCUCCAUAAUUAAUCCAAGGAAUUCUUCUCACCCUGAUGGCACACGCUCCACAAACCCUUGUGGCCACCGAAUCCGAGCCUGAUGAAACUCCUCCAGGCACUCUUUCUCCUCCCGCCCCAAACCCUACUUCUCCCAACCGCGUGAUGAAUCCAGAUUCCACCCGAAUUCCGACCCUCCUCCAUAUUUCCUUCAAUCAGGAUUCCGGCUGCUUUGCCGCGGGCACGGACCGUGGCUUCCGGAUCUACAAUUGCGAUCCAUUCCGCGAGAUCUUUCGGCGGGACUUUGGUGCAGGUGGUGGAAUAGGUUUAGUUCAGAUGUUGUUUCGUUGCAACAUACUUGCCUUUGUCGGUGGCGGAGCUGACCCUAUUUACCCAAAUAACAAAGUCAUGAUUUGGGAUGAUCAUCAGUCCCGGUGCAUUGGCGAGCUAUCGUUUCGAUCCGAGGUCAAAGGGGUUCGUCUUAGAAGGGAUCGAAUUGUGGUGGUUCUGGUGCAUAAGAUAUUCGUAUAUAAUUUCGCAGAUCUUAAAGUGUUGCACCAAAUUGAGACAACGGCGAAUCCAAAGGGACUUUGUGAGGUUUCACAUGUUUCAGGGACAAUGGUGUUAGUCUGUCCAGGGUUGCAGAAGGGUCAGGUGAGGGUCGAGCAUUACGCCUCAAAGCGGACCAAGUUUAUAAUGGCGCACGAUUCUAGAAUAGCUUGCUUCGCGCUUUCGCAGGACGGGCGGUUGCUUGCCACUGCGAGCAGCAAGGGAACUCUGGUCAGGAUUUUCAAUACAUUGGACGGUUCGUUGCUCCAAGAGGUAAGGAGGGGUGCAGAUCGAGCAGAGAUAUAUAGCCUUGCCUUUUCUGCUACUGCACAGUGGCUAGCUGUCUCAAGUGACAAAGGAACUGUUCAUGUCUUCAACUUGAAGGUUGAUUCAGGACUAUUGGGGCAUGAGAGAGUGCAGAGUGCAUCGGAAACUAAUCCUGCUAACCCAUCAGCAGUUUCAUCUCUUUCUUUUAUAAAAGGUGUUCUGCCCAAGUAUUUUAGCUCAGAAUGGUCUGUGGCGCAGUUUCGCUUGCAUGAAGGUUUGCAAUAUAUUGUUGCCUUUGGCCAUCAGAAGAACACAAUCGUAAUACUUGGGAUGGAUGGAAGCUUCUAUCGAUGCCAGUUUGAUCCGGUGAAUGGUGGAGAGAUGAGCCAAGUUGAAUAUUAUAACUUCUUGAAGCCAGGGGAGAUAUUCUAGAACUGGAUUGGAUGAAUCAUGUAUAAAUCUUUGGUGGCCAUUGUUAAUAUUAUUAUUUUCUCGUCACCCCCGUUGUGCGGAACGUAGAGGAUGUCAUCAAAUCACGAUCAUCAAUACGUAACGCACUUGAACAGUGACUGUCUAGUGGACCGUUGUCAGUCAUUACAACUUUAAUUCCGUCAUCUUCACACACAUGGAAAGACGACUACGCGUACCUAAUCAUGCCUGCAUUUAUAUCCCAAGAAAUGAGGUCGAUCUUGCUUCUCCUUCUCGAUGGGGUGGACGUUUCUAUUUUCCUCAGACCAUGCUGAAUUGAAUUGUUUAUCUUUGCAGGCCUUGCGUUUAAUUUGUAAAACGUGAUCGAGUUAAUGUCUAUAUUGUACAAAUUUGGACAUGGAAACGAUUGCAUGCCGUAGAGCCAAGAUACGCAUUACUAGUUUCCCACUAUGCCAUAAAAUGUACGCAUCUGAUGAAUUAAAAGAGGUAAAAAUAAUAGUUCUAAAUUUA